rnacentral:misc_RNA from 1 species
UUAUCCACUCGAACUUCGGUUUGGUGAUGGGGACGGUCCCGAGAGGGACCGCCGCCCGCAAAGUGUCGGCCGUGGAAUCUUCACCCGCAGAGUAGUGGACACGCCUCUGAUCAGGGAGUCGAGGAAGCGAGCCCAACAACCAAA